rnacentral:rRNA from 1 species
AUUGAACGCUGGCGGCAUGCCUUACACAUGCAAGUCGAACGGCAGCACGGGUGCUUGCACCUGGUGGCGAGUGGCGAACGGGUGAGUAAUACAUCGGAACAUGUCCUGUAGUGGGGGAUAGCCCGGCGAAAGCCGGAUUAAUACCGCAUACGAUCUACGGAUGAAAGCGGGGGACCUUCGGGCCUCGCGCUAUAGGGUUGGCCGAUGGCUGAUUAGCUAGUUGGUGGGGUAAAGGCCUACCAAGGCGACGAUCAGUAGCUGGUCUGAGAGGACGACCAGCCACACGGGGACUGAGACACGGCCCAGACUCCUACGGGAGGCAGCAGUGGGGAAUUUUGGACAAAGGGCGAAAGCCUGAUCCAGCAAUGCCGCGUGUGUGAAGAAGGCCUUCGGGUUGUAAAGCACUUUUGUCCGGAAAGAAAUCCUUGGCCCUAAUACGGUCGGGGGAUGACGGUACCGGAAGAAUAAGCACCGGCUAACUACGUG